rnacentral:rRNA from 1 species
CAGGCCUAACACAUGCAAGUCGAACGAUGCUUUCGGGCAUAGUGGCGCACGGGUGCGUAACGCGUGGGAAUCUGCCCUUGGGUUCGGAAUAACCGUUGGAAACGACGGCUAAUACCGGAUGAUGUCGAUAAGACCAAAGAUUUAUCGCCUGAGGAUGAGCCCGCGUAGGAUUAGCUAGUUGGUGGGGUAAAGGCCUACCAAGGCGACGAUCCUUAGCUGGUCUGAGAGGAUGAUCAGCCACACUGGGACUGAGACACGGCCCAGACUCCUACGGGAGGCAGCAGUGGGGAAUAUUGGACAAUGGGCGCAAGCCUGAUCCAGCAAUGCCGCGUGAGUGAUGAAGGCCUUAGGGUUGUAAAGCUCUUUUACCCGGGAUGAUAAUGACAGUACCGGGAGAAUAAGCUCCGGCUAACUCCGUGCCAGCAGCCGCGGUAAU